rnacentral:tRNA from 2 species
GGGCCAGUAGCUCAGUUAGGUUAGAGCACCAGACUUAUAAACUGGCGGUCGGCGGUUCAAAUCCACCCUGGCCCACCA